GACGAACGCUGGCGGCGUGCCUAAUACAUGCAAGUCGAACGGAGUGGCGAACGGGUGAGUAAUGUCUCGGAACGUGCCCAGUAGCGGGGGAUAACUACGCGAAAGCGUAGCUAAUACCGCAUACUAUUGGAGCGGCCGAUAUCGGAUUAGCUAGUUGGUGGGGUAAAGGCUAACCAAGGCGACGAUCCGGAGCUGGUUUGAGAAGACGACCAGCCAAACGGGGACAGAGACACGGCCCAGGAUCCUACGGGAGGCAGCAGUGGGGAAUUUAGGACAAGGGGGGAAACCCUGAUCCAGCCAUCCCGCGUGGUCGAUGAAGGCCUUCGGGUUGUAAAGCACUUUGGGCAGGAAAGCGGUACCUGCAGAAUAAGCACCGGCUAACUACGUGCCAGCAGCCGCGGUAAUAC
rnacentral:rRNA from 1 species